rnacentral:lncRNA from 1 species
AAUGGAGGGUACAUUUUCAAACAUGUUAAUUUAUUUUAAGGCUGUGGUAGGACCAUGCAUAUGCAUUAAUCUGUAAUUAGGUAGCCACAUAUUUCUAGGUAGGCAGCAAUAUACAUGAGAAUUUCCUUUUUUAUCACUAUCGCUAAGUUUCUUAGUGGCUAAGUCCUUAUUCCUUAAUAAGGUGUCAAAAUAGUGAAUUAUUAAACUUAUGAUUAUUGAACCUAGUUUGCUUGCAUUCAAAUUCCCAUGUCUCUAAUACAUCCUCAUGUUGCCAUGAGGUUACUUUCCUUAAACUUUACUUAUUGCACCUGUUUACCCUGUUGAAAACACCUUCAGAGGCUCUCAUUGCUUAAUGAAUCAUAUCCGACUCUAUAAUAGCAUUUCAGUGCUCUUCACUGUCUACCACCAUGUAUGUUUCUAAUUAUAACAGCACCCCUUGAUCCAUCCCCUUACACACCCAAAGUAUCGAAUACUCUCUCAUCUCAUAGUACCUCAAUACUUUUUCUUACUCUCACCCCUUCACAGAAUCCUGAGGCUGUCCCAUGACUCUUCACUCAUUAUGCUUCCUGAAUGCCAAGAUGCCCUGCAGAAAGACUGUGUUGUCAGAAAUUGGAGCUGAAGUUCUGGAUGCCAGAAUUCUUCAAUCCAGCUGUUGGCAAGACUGGUCCCUCCUGGAGGCUCUGAAGAAGAAUUUGUUCCAUGCUUUUAAGAAGUCUCUCUCCUAGCUUCUGAUGGCUACUGGUAAUAGUUGGCAUUCUGUGGCUUGUUGGUACAUCCCUCUAAUCCCUUCUUCAUCUUCAUAUGAUGUUCUCCCCUGUAUGUCUGUGUCUGCAUCCAAAUAUCUCUCUUCUUCUAAGGAUACCAGUCACUUUAUUAGAGCCCACCAUAAUCCAUGAUGACCUCAUUCUAACUUGACUACAAAGUUACUAUAUUUUCAAAUAAGGCCACAUGCACAGGUACUGAGAAUUUCUCUUCCUACCCUCAAUUAGUGCCACUUCAUUUGGUGGGCUGGAGUUUGAAGGCCCC